GGGUUGUGAGGUUAAGCGACUAAGCGUACACGGUGGAUGCCCUGGCAGUCAGAGGCGAUGAAGGACGUGCUAAUCUGCGAUAAGCGUCGGUAAGGUGAUAUGAACCGUUAUAACCGGCGAUUUCCGAAUGGGGAAACCCAGUGUGUUUCGACACACUAUCAUUAACUGAAUCCAUAGGUUAAUGAGGCGAACCGGGGGAACUGAAACAUCUAAGUACCCCGAGGAAAAGAAAUCAACCGAGAUUCCCCCAGUAGCGGCGAGCGAACGGGGAGCAGCCCAGAGCCUGAAUCAGUGUGUGUGUUAGUGGAAGCGUCUGGAAAGGCGCGCGAUACAGGGUGACAGCCCCGUACACAAAAAUGCACAUGCUGUGAGCUCGAUGAGUAGGGCGGGACACGUGGUAUCCUGUCUGAAUAUGGGGGGACCAUCCUCCAAGGCUAAAUACUCCUGACUGACCGAUAGUGAACCAGUACCGUGAGGGAAAGGCGAAAAGAACCCCGGCGAGGGGAGUGAAAAAGAACCUGAAACCGUGUACGUACAAGCAGUGGGAGCCUCUUUAUGGGGUGACUGCGUACCUUUUGUAUAAUGGGUCAGCGACUUAUAUUCUGUAGCAAGGUUAACCGAAUAGGGGAGCCGAAGGGAAACCGAGUCUUAACUGGGCGUUAAGUUGCAGGGUAUAGACCCGAAACCCGGUGAUCUAGCCAUGGGCAGGUUGAAGGUUGGGUAACACUAACUGGAGGACCGAACCGACUAAUGUUGAAAAAUUAGCGGAUGACUUGUGGCUGGGGGUGAAAGGCCAAUCAAACCGGGAGAUAGCUGGUUCUCCCCGAAAGCUAUUUAGGUAGCGCCUCGUGAAUUCAUCUCCGGGGGUAGAGCACUGUUUCGGCAAGGGGGUCAUCCCGACUUACCAACCCGAUGCAAACUGCGAAUACCGGAGAAUGUUAUCACGGGAGACACACGGCGGGUGCUAACGUCCGUCGUGAAGAGGGAAACAACCCAGACCGCCAGCUAAGGUCCCAAAGUCAUGGUUAAGUGGGAAACGAUGUGGGAAGGCCCAGACAGCCAGGAUGUUGGCUUAGAAGCAGCCAUCAUUUAAAGAAAGCGUAAUAGCUCACUGGUCGAGUCGGCCUGCGCGGAAGAUGUAACGGGGCUAAACCAUGCACCGAAGCUGCGGCAGCGACGCUUAUGCGUUGUUGGGUAGGGGAGCGUUCUGUAAGCCUGUGAAGGUGUGCUGUGAGGCAUGCUGGAGGUAUCAGAAGUGCGAAUGCUGACAUAAGUAACGAUAAAGCGGGUGAAAAGCCCGCUCGCCGGAAGACCAAGGGUUCCUGUCCAACGUUAAUCGGGGCAGGGUGAGUCGACCCCUAAGGCGAGGCCGAAAGGCGUAGUCGAUGGGAAACAGGUUAAUAUUCCUGUACUUGGUGUUACUGCGAAGGGGGGACGGAGAAGGCUAUGUUGGCCGGGCGACGGUUGUCCCGGUUUAAGCGUGUAGGCUGGUUUUCCAGGCAAAUCCGGAAAAUCAAGGCUGAGGCGUGAUGACGAGGCACUACGGUGCUGAAGCAACAAAUGCCCUGCUUCCAGGAAAAGCCUCUAAGCAUCAGGUAACAUCAAAUCGUACCCCAAACCGACACAGGUGGUCAGGUAGAGAAUACCAAGGCGCUUGAGAGAACUCGGGUGAAGGAACUAGGCAAAAUGGUGCCGUAACUUCGGGAGAAGGCACGCUGAUAUGUAGGUGAAGCGACUUGCUCGUGGAGCUGAAAUCAGUCGAAGAUACCAGCUGGCUGCAACUGUUUAUUAAAAACACAGCACUGUGCAAACACGAAAGUGGACGUAUACGGUGUGACGCCUGCCCGGUGCCGGAAGGUUAAUUGAUGGGGUUAGCGGUAACGCGAAGCUCUUGAUCGAAGCCCCGGUAAACGGCGGCCGUAACUAUAACGGUCCUAAGGUAGCGAAAUUCCUUGUCGGGUAAGUUCCGACCUGCACGAAUGGCGUAAUGAUGGCCAGGCUGUCUCCACCCGAGACUCAGUGAAAUUGAACUCGCUGUGAAGAUGCAGUGUACCCGCGGCAAGACGGAAAGACCCCGUGAACCUUUACUAUAGCUUGACACUGAACAUUGAGCCUUGAUGUGUAGGAUAGGUGGGAGGCUUGGAAGUGUGGACGCCAGUCUGCAUGGAGCCGACCUUGAAAUACCACCCUUUAAUGUUUGAUGUUCUAACGUUGACCCGUAAUCCGGGUUGCGGACAGUGUCUGGUGGGUAGUUUGACUGGGGCGGUCUCCUCCUAAAGAGUAACGGAGGAGCACGAAGGUUGGCUAAUCCUGGUCGGACAUCAGGAGGUUAGUGCAAUGGCAUAAGCCAGCUUGACUGCGAGCGUGACGGCGCGAGCAGGUGCGAAAGCAGGUCAUAGUGAUCCGGUGGUUCUGAAUGGAAGGGCCAUCGCUCAACGGAUAAAAGGUACUCCGGGGAUAACAGGCUGAUACCGCCCAAGAGUUCAUAUCGACGGCGGUGUUUGGCACCUCGAUGUCGGCUCAUCACAUCCUGGGGCUGAAGUAGGUCCCAAGGGUAUGGCUGUUCGCCAUUUAAAGUGGUACGCGAGCUGGGUUUAGAACGUCGUGAGACAGUUCGGUCCCUAUCUGCCGUGGGCGCUGGAGAACUGAGGGGGGCUGCUCCUAGUACGAGAGGACCGGAGUGGACGCAUCACUGGUGUUCGGGUUGUCAUGCCAAUGGCACUGCCCGGUAGCUAAAUGCGGAAGAGAUAAGUGCUGAAAGCAUCUAAGCACGAAACUUGCCCCGAGAUGAGUUCUCCCUGACUCCUUGAGAGUCCUGAAGGAACGUUGAAGACGACGACGUUGAUAGGCCGGGUGUGUAAGCGCAGCGAUGCGUUGAGCUAACCGGUACUAAUGAACCGUGAGGCUUAACCUUACAACGCCGAAG
rnacentral:rRNA from 1 species